rnacentral:rRNA from 1 species
GACGAACGCUGGCGGCGUGCUUAACACAUGCAAGUCGAACGGAAAGUUCCUGCUUUUGUGGGGUGCUCGAGUGGCGAACGGGUGAGUAACCCGUGUGUAACCUGCCCUUGACUGUGGGAUAACUUCAGGAAACUGGGGCUCAUACCGGAUAGGAGCUCCUGCUGCAUGGUGGGGGUUGGAUAGUUUCGGCGGUUGGGGAUGGACUCGCGGCUUAUCCGCUUGUUGGUGGGGUAGUGGCUUACCAAGGCUUUGACGGCUAGCCGGCCUGAGAGGGUGACCGGCCACAUUGGGACUGAGAUACGGCCCAGACUCCUACGGGAGGCAGCAGUGGGGAAUAUGGCACAAUGGGCGGAAGCCUGAUGCAGCAACGCCGCGUGCGGGAUGACGGCCUUCGGGUUGUAAACCGCUUUCGCCUGUGACGAAGCGUGAGUGACGGUAAUGGGUAAAGAAGCACCGGCUAACUACGUG